rnacentral:rRNA from 1 species
ACGAACGCUGGCGGCAUGCCUAACACAUGCAAGUCGAACGCACCUUCGGGUGAGUGGCGGACGGGUGAGUAACGCGUGGGAACCUGCCCAUUAGUACGGAAUAACCGCGGGAAACUGCGGCUAAUACCGUAUACGCCCUUCGGGGGAAAGAUUUAUCGCUAAUGGAUGGGCCCGCGUCGGAUUAGCUAGUUGGUGAGGUAACGGCUCACCAAGGCGACGAUCCGUAGCUGGUCUAAGAGGAUGAUCAGCCACACUGGGACUGAGACACGGCCCAGACUCCUACGGGAGGCAGCAGUGGGGAAUAUUGGACAAUGGGGGAAACCCUGAUCCAGCAAUGCCGCGUGAGUGAUGAAGGCCUUAGGGUUGUAAAGCUCUUUCGGUGGUGACGAUGAUGACGGUAACCACAGAAGAAGCCCCGGCUAACUCCGU